GCAGCUGUGGUUAAGGGCGGCCGCGGCGCCUGGAGCGAUUCGUGUCAGCUUCCCAAGCUGAAUGUCGUCGGUUCGAUCCCGAUCGCCCGCUCCA
rnacentral:tRNA from 1 species